CCCCUACUGAUUAAUGUGUGCAACAGCAGCUGUAACACCAGACGUGUCAUAAGUGUAAUGAGACUCAGUGGUGAGCUACUCCUGUGUCCUCCUGCUGUGUCACUACUUUAGUGCAGGGAUUGAAAAAGUUUAUAUUUGAUAUUUCAGUCUUGAUUAAUUUAGCUAAUAACAGAUCGGACAUGACAUGAGGAGGAUUGAGUAUUUAUGACAAAAGAUGUAUGGAUACAUUUUCUCAAUGGUGAAUUAAAACAGGACAGAAAUAUAAUAUUGAUUGUAGUUGGAUGAAGUUGAAAUUCCAAAAUUGGGUUGGGUUUAGUGUUGUCAUGAGGACUUCAGACAGUGAUUGCACAUAUACACACCAGGUUUCUUUAAUACCAGGCUAGGCACUUAUAAUUCAUAUAAGCCAUAUAAGAUUGUACAUAUACACACCAGGUUUCUUUAAGACCAGGCUAGACGUAUAAGCCGUAUAAGAUUGUACAUAUACACACCAGGUUUGUUUAAGACCAGGCUAGGCACUUAUAAUUCAUAUAAGCCGUGUCACAGGUCCAUACAGGCCUGUUGAAGGUGCAGUGUAUGGUGACUGUGCUUCCUGGUGUGGUGGAUGGGUCUGGACUCUGAGUCACAGUUGUGUUAAUGAAGAUGAGCCUACAGUGAGGAUGAGUGGUAAUAUAAUUCAUAUAAGACACUAAAGAUCGUACGUCUACAAUCUGUUUCUAGAUCAGCCCUUCAUUCGUAAGUGUAGGUGAUGUCAUGUGUUGAUGAUGACUAUGUGAAAUGGGCUUUUAUUCUCCCAGGCUUAAGGGCUGGUGACAGGUCAUAUAUGACUGAAUUAGUGGUUCUGAUGUCUUUAUUCUCCCAGGCUUAAGGGCUGGUAACAGGUCAUAUAUGACUGAAUUAGUGAUUCUGAUGUAUUUUAUGUAGUCUCACUGUCAACCAGAACUGAACACUUUAACCUGCUAUGUUGAUUAUACACAUUUCCUAGGUUAUUAAUUUAAAGUCUAACGGCCAUCAAUUUACAUCUAAUGCAAUACAAGCCUGCCACCAAGGACGAAACACUCAUUUAAUUGCAGAUUUGAAUGAUGCUGUUGCCAAUCCAACACUUUUACAUCUUCAUAUGUUGACACACAUGCAUCUUUGUCUGUCACACUCAAACCAAGGUAAUGUACUAGAGAGAGAGAGAGAGAGAGCGAGAGA
ensembl:lncRNA